AUGAAACUGACUACGAAAUCUCAAUCCCUCAAAAUCCAGAUGGUCUUGCUCUUCAAGCCAAAUCUACUUACCUUGCUGGUGGUACGGCAUCAAUGUUGGCUUCCCGGGUCUUUUGUAUGUAGUCUCUUGUGGCACGCGGGCAUCAAGGUAAUGCUGACAUUUUUUUCCUUCGUAUGCAAUCUCUUGUGGCAUGCGGGCAUCAAGUUAAUACGGAUCUCCAUAUGGGUAUUCUUGUGGGACAAUGACUUGGAUCAUCGGGGUUGUCUCGUCCAGCGUCGUGAUCUCUUCUUCGUGCAAAGCAGGGUGAUCACUUGUCAAUAA
rnacentral:rRNA from 1 species